rnacentral:rRNA from 1 species
ACUGAACGCUGGCGGCAUGCCUUACACAUGCAAGUCGAACGGUAACAGGUUAAGCUGACGAGUGGCGAACGGGUGAGUAAUGUAUCGGAACGUGCCCGGUCGUGGGGGAUAACUACUCGAAAGAGUGGCUAAUACCGCAUACGACCUGAGGGUGAAAGCGGGGGACCGUAAGGCCUCGCGCGAUUGGAGCGGCCGAUAUCAGAUUAGCUAGUUGGUGGGGUAAAAGCCCACCAAGGCGACGAUCUGUAGCUGGUCUGAGAGGACGACCAGCCACACUGGGACUGAGACACGGCCCAGACUCCUACGGGAGGCAGCAGUGGGGAAUUUUGGACAAUGGACGCAAGUCUGAUCCAGCCAUGCCGCGUGCGGGAAGAAGGCCUUCGGGUUGUAAACCGCUUUUGUCAGGGAAGAAACGAGUUUCUCUAAUACAGAGACUUAAUGACGGUACCUGAAGAAUAAGCACCGGCUAACUACGUGCCAGCAGCCGCCGUAACAC